rnacentral:lncRNA from 1 species
UAAUUUCAUUUAAUUCCUUUUAUUUUCAAAAAUUCAUAAAUAUUUUAUUUGAAGUCACAAAAAUAUGAGACCAAUGCCAAAAAAAAUCUUGAAAAAUCUAGUUUCAUAUUGUUUUAAUUUCAUUUAAUUCCUUUUAUUUUCAAAAAUUCAUAAAUAUUUUAUUUGAAGUCACAAAAAUAUGAGACCAAUGCCAAAAAAAAUCUUGAAAAAUCUAGUUUCAUAUUUUGAUUUUU